GAACAAGCUUAAAAUCUAGACUGUGUUACAUUAAUAUCCAUCUUGUCUAGGUGCUUAGCUUGAGGGUUUUAUUCUCUGAGGACUUGGGCAAACUGUGAUUUUGGUCCCCAAUCUAAUUUCCAUGUUUAAAAUCCCUGGUAUUUUUCUUGGCUCAGAGAUGUGAUUUUAACGGUGUGACAAAUCCAAACAGUGUUCCACAAUUAGCUUGUCACCAUCACUUGAAAUGUAAACAAGAGAAAGAAAAAUAAAAGUUUAAUUGAUUUUUGGGCAUACCAGGCAGCACUCACAAAAAAAACUUUUACAUGUUCAAAGGUACAAGAAAACCAAAUUAUCCUGGACACUGAAGCCAUCCUUGGUUUUUGAUUUAAAAUAAUCAAAAAAGCACAAAUAGAUACCCAGCUUUGCAUGUUUCAUUUCAUUGUCAUAAAUGACAUGCCUAAUUUAGCAUUAUGACCCAUCGCUCUUGCAUCACAGCUGUAAUAAAGUGUUACAAGAAUACAUUGCGUGGAAUGUUCUUAUUCUAGUAACACUUUAUAUUUAAACUGGAACAAUUUAUGAAUUCACCUACUAAGUACCCUUCUCCAACCAUUCAAACUUUAACCAAAUGUCCCAUGUUAUGGAAAUGGUGUAAUUUGAAUGUCUUAUUCCUACUGAGGUAGCAGACAUAGGCAAAUGAGGUUCCCUUGUACCCGUGGGCUAGCAAUCAGAAAAUAACAUAUAUUAACUGUGUCCUUACCGGCAUGUCUUGUUUUGAAUUCAGAACAACGUUGUUUCUCAAGAUGCCCAUAUUGCUAUCAGAGCUGUCUUUACCUAAUGCUUGCUUUGUCUUAGUUCAGUCAAUUCUAAUUUGUACUGUAAGAAGUGCUCCAUAAAUUGUUGAUGCUGUAUAAAUGAUAAUUAUUAAGUGUAUUUUAUAUUGAUGUCUGUACUAUCUCUGUGCAAUCAUUGCCUUCCAGGGCACACGUGGAAAUGAGACCUAUUGUAACACACGUGAACAUACAUCCCAUGGAGCAUCUACCACAAUUCAGCUCCCCCUUGUACUGACAUUUUCUUGUUUACCUUCUUAUUUAGCUUUGAUCAAUGAUCUCUCCAGAACCGCGUUGGCUAUUUGAGAGACAAGUCCCUUUCCCCAAGAUGCCUUGAUUCCAGCUGUUAAGGACUCUGCAUGUUUAUGAGUAUUCAGACACAUGACAUCACACAAUUAGGCACCUUAUUGCUAGUCGAAGUUAAUGUACAAUACUCGGUCCGGUUCCUUCAAAAGCAUACAAUGGGAUUGCCAGCCAUCUUGUUCUGGUAGAAUCGUGAUCUGAAGAAUAAAUCUUGAAGGUCCUGAAAGUUUAUUCAACUCAAUAGGUUUGCCCUAAUAAAACUUAGCUUCAAAUGAAGACUGUUCUCUCUUGGUAGAACCAAGGUAUGUCUUGAAUCUGUUAUGAUUCCCCCAAAAGCAUUUCAUAAAUACCAACUUCAUACAAGAAUAUUUUUCAAAACUGCAUUUUUUACAUAUAUCAAAAUGAUUUCCUUUUCAGAAUAAAUUCAAUAAAUGGCUUUUAUUAUAUUCAAUAAUAAGCCCCAUCAGUCUUAUAAUAUUUGUACUUGUUGUAAGUUUUACCCCAUACUAUAAAUGUUGCUUUUGCUGCAGUUUACUGGUAAACCAAUAAAAGAUAAAAUGGACACAAACAUGUAUCAAUCUAUAUUCGCAAUCCUGCAUAUACACAUAUUUGACCGCUUUAUAGAAAUAAUCAAGUUCAGUAUGUAUACACAUAUAUGUAUACAUUCGUACAAACAUUUUCCAUGUUUGAUGUUUAAGAUGUAACGUAGCCUCCAGCCAAAAACAAAACAGAGCCUCGACGUAAAGAAAAUAAAAUGAGUACAGCUCGUCUCGGUCCCCACCGAGUAUUGCUCCAAAAAGAUUUGUAAAGGUUUUGAAAUGACUAGGGACAAGGCUUGGUUCUGAUUAAAUCAUAUAGGGACCUAAUUAUGGAUUUAGCAGAGAGAGACAGAGAGAGAAACACACCUUCAGCCAGGCAGUUUCCCUGCUGGGAGAAGAAAAUCUCAGUGAACCAUGAAGAAGAGACAAGCAGCAAUAGGAUGAGAAAUAUACAUUUCCUGUGGUAAUAUGAAAGCCUCCCAAGAAGCUUGAUUCUCAUGCCAUCGCCGGAGGGCAGAAGACUUCCCCUGUUUGAUACGGAGUAAAACAGGCCUUUGUGAAAGAACUGGAAACACGGCUCUGCUCCCAGAGGCGUUAACUAGGCUGCGCUUAAGCCUGGAGCAGUAAGCGGAGUAACAGACAUCACACCUACAAGUAAAGGGAUAAUUAGCCUUAGUUAUGAAAAUACACAGCAACAAAUCUUCUUAAAGACUUCCUCAGUGGGAAAACCACCUUUGACUAGAAAAAAAAGGAAA